CCUACGGGGGGCAGCAGUGGGGAAUAUUGGACAAUGGGGGGAACCCUGAUCCAGCCAUGCCGCGUGUGUGAAGAAGGCCCUCGGGUUGUAAAGCACUUUCAGUGAGGAAGAACGCCUGGUGGUUAAUACCCAUCAGGAAAGACAUCACUCACAGAAGAAGCACCGGCUAACUCCGUGCCAGCAGCCGCGGUAAUACGGAGGGUGCGAGCGUUAAUCGGAAUUACUGGGCGUAAAGCGCGCGUAGGUGGCUUGAUAAGCCGGUUGUGAAAGCCCCGGGCUCAACCUGGGAACGGCAUCCGGAACUGUCAAGCUAGAGUGCAGGAGAGGAAGGUAGACUUCCCGGUGUAGCGGUGAAAUGCGUAGAGAUCGGGAGGAAUACCAGUGGCGAAGGCGGCCUUCUGGACUGACACUGACACUGAGGUGCGAAAGCGUGGGUAGCAAACAGGAUUAGAUACCCUGGUAGUC
rnacentral:rRNA from 1 species